AUAGCCUCGGGAAACCGGGAGUUAAAACCUGAUGAAACUAUCAAAUCACAUGAUUAAGAAAGUUAAAACUCCGGUGGUAAAAGAUGGACUCGCGUCCCAUUAGCUAGUUGGUGAAGGUAACGGCCCACCAAGGCAACGAUGGGUAGCCGGCCUGAGAGGGUGAACGGCCACAUUGGAACUGAGAAACGGUCCAAACUCCUACGGGAGGCAGCAGC
rnacentral:rRNA from 1 species